GACGAACGCUGGCGGCGUGCUUAACACAUGCAAGUCGAGCGGAAAGGCCUGCUUUCCCUUGUGGAUUGCGGGUACUCGAGUGGCGAACGGGUGAGUAACACGUGAGUGAUCUGCCCCCAACUUGGGUAUAAGCCUGGGAAACUGGGUCUAAUUCCCGAUAGGACUGCAGGGUGGUGCCUGUGGUGGAAAACGAUUUUCUAGUGGUUGGGGAUGAGCUCGCGGCCUAUCAGCUUGUUGGUGGGGUAAUGGCCUACCAAGGCGGCGACGGGUAGCCGGCCUGAGAGGGUGGACGGCCACAUUGGGACUGAGAUACGGCCCAGACUCCGACGGGAGGCAGCAGUGGGGAAUAUUGCACAAUGGGCGGAAGCCUGAGGCAGCGACGCCGCGUGGGGGAUGACGGCCUUCGGGUUGUAAACUCCUUUCGACCGCGAGGAAGCCACCUGGUUGGAAGGGUGGUGACGGUAGUGGUAGAAGAAGCACCGGCUAACUACGUG
rnacentral:rRNA from 1 species